AGAGUUUGAUGGUGGCUCAGGACGAACGCUGGCGGCGCGCCUAACACAUGCAAGUCGAACGAGAGAUGAGGAGCUUGCUCUUCAGAUCGAGUGGCGAACGGGUGAGUAACGCGUGAGGAACCUGCCUCAAAGAGGGGGACAACAGUUGGAAACGACUGCUAAUACCGCAUAAGCCCACGACCCGGCAUCGGGUAGAGGGAAAAGGAGUGAUCCGCUUUGAGAUGGCCUCGCGUCCGAUUAGCUAGUUGGUGAGGUAACGGCCCACCAAGGCGACGAUCGGUAGCCGGACUGAGAGGUUGAACGGCCACAUUGGGACUGAGACACGGCCCAGACUCCUACGGGAGGCAGCAGUGGGGAAUAUUGCACAAUGGGGGAAACCCUGAUGCAGCGACGCCGCGUGGAGGAAGAAGGUCUUCGGAUUGUAAACUCCUGUUGUUGAGGAAGAUAAUGACGGUACUCAACAAGGAAGUGACGGCUAACUACGUGCCAGCAGCCGCGGUAAAACGUAGGUCACAAGCGUUGUCCGGAAUUACUGGGUGUAAAGGGAGCGCAGGCGGGAGAACAAGUUGGAAGUGAAAUCCAUGGGCUCAACCCAUGAACUGCUUUCAAAACUGUUUUUCUUGAGUAGUGCAGAGGUAGGCGGAAUUCCCGGUGUAGCGGUGGAAUGCGUAGAUAUCGGGAGGAACACCAGUGGCGAAGGCGGCCUACUGGGCACCAACUGACGCUGAGGCUCGAAAGUGUGGGUAGCAAACAGGAUUAGAUACCCUGGUAGUCCACACCGUAAACGAUGAUUACUAGGUGUUGGAGGAUUGACCCCCUUCAGUGCCGCAGUUAACACAAUAAGUAAUCCACCUGGGGAGUACGACCGCAAGUUA
rnacentral:rRNA from 1 species